GUAUGGUGCUGGGUGCAGAUGCAGUGUGGCUCUGGAUAGCACCUUAUGGACAGUUGUGUCCCCAAGGAAGGAUGAGAAUAGCUACUGAAGUCCUAAAGAGCAAGCCUAACUCAAGCCAUUGGCACACAGGCAUUAGACAGAAAGCUGGAAGUUGAAAUGGUGGAGUCCAACUUGCCUGGACCAGCUUAAUGGUUCUGCUCCUGGUAACGUUUUUAUCCAUGGAUGACUUGCUUGGGUAAGGACAUGAAGACAGUUCCUGUCAUACCUUUUAAAGGUAUGGAGAGUCGGCUUGACUACACUGUGUGGAGCAAGUUUUAAAGAAGCAAAGGACUCAGAAUUCAUGAUUGAAGAAAUGCAGGUUAGUUUAAACUUUGAAGGAAAUUUUUAAGGUGGCAAAAGGUUUUGGUGGCAUAUACACCUUAAUCUGUAGAUGGGAGUGAUUAGCUGUUUAAAAGUUAAAAUGUGACUGAGAAGGAAAUUGAGUAGGGCAAAUUUUAAAUGGGUAUUAUUUUUCAUCUUCAAACAGGCAGACCUGUUAUCCUAAACUAGGGUUUUUAAUGACCACAACAAGCAAGCAUGCAGCUUACUGCUUGAAAGGGUCUUGCCUCACCCAAGCUAGAGUGCAGUGGCCUUUGAAGCUUACUACAGCCUCAAACUUCUGGGCUCAAGUGAUCCUCAGCCUCCCAGUGGUCUUUGUAGACUGCCUGAUGGAGUCUCAUGGCACAAGAAGAUUAAAACAGUGUCUCCAAUUUUAAUAAAUUUUUGCAAUCCA
rnacentral:lncRNA from 1 species